AAAACUCAAAUCGUCUGCCUUAGCUUUCCUUUCUCGCUUCUAUCUUCUCUCCAAACCCAAAUCGUCUGGCCAAAUAAUAGAAGGAAAAGUCGAACUCUUCUCCCCAAAUGCUUCAAACGUUCGCGAUUUAGGCAAGGCUGGCUGAGAAUCGUGAUUGUGAGAUCCCAAAUCACAAGCCCUAUGUUUUAGUUUAUGUACUAUUUUUGUUUUAGAUUUUUUGUAUUGAUCUUUUCCAUUUCAAUUUGUUACGUCUGUUGUGAAUCGCAAAAGAGUAAUAAUUUUUAGUUCCCGUCAGUAGGACAUAUUUGUGUGGUGGUUUGUUAAGAAUAUCUCAUUGAUUCUGUUUAGAUGCAUUAUAAAUAUGUUAAAGAAGUUGUAUGAUUUUUAUUAGUAUGAUGAAGCUACCUGUUUUGUCAAAGUAACCUUAUUUACUACAGAGGCAGUUUCAACACCCCAAUCUCCACUGAGUCUGAGACAAACAAACUUUAUAAUUAAUAUAGUAGGAAACAUAUCUUCUAUGUUUAGCUUUAUAAUUAAUAUAGUAGGAAACCUCUGCUCUACUACAGAGGCAGUUUCAAUUUUAAUUUAUGUUUGUCACCUACUAUGUUAAACAGAAAACCAACACAUUAUCCUACUACACCUACUAGUAAAAUCUUGUUGAAUAGCUUCACUUGUGAUGCAACACUCAAAUGUUGAAAUGUUUGCAUAAUUUCAUCAUUUAUGUUGGCAACGUAUUAACCUUAAUUAAUUCUCUCUCCCCAGUCAUGAGCACAAAUUCAGCUGGGAGUUCAUCACGCAGUUGCAAAUGUGGAGUUCCUUCACCUGUGAAGAUUUUAUGGACCAAAACAAAUCCCGGGCGACGAUUUGUUGGUUGCACAAAUUAUAAAACAAUACCUUGUAACUCGUUUGAAUGGAUUGAUCCAUCAAGAGCUGGUGGAAAAAAUUGAGGAGAUGACAUUGAAGAAUGAAAGACUGAAG
rnacentral:lncRNA from 1 species